AGUAACGCGUGGGUAACCUGCCUCACACAGGGGGAUAACAGUUGGAAACGGCUGCUAAUACCGCAUAAGCGCACAGCAUCGCAUGAUGCCGUGUGAAAAACUCCGGUGGUAUGAGAUGGACCCGCGUCUGAUUAGCUGGUUGGUGAGGUAACGGCCCACCAAGGCGACGAUCAGUAGCCGACCUGAGAGGGUGACCGGCCACAUUGGGACUGAGACACGGCCCAA
rnacentral:rRNA from 1 species